CCUACGGGAGGCAGCAGUAAGGAAUAUUGGACAAUGGUCGCAAGACUGAUCCAGCCAUGCCGCGUGAAGGAUGACGGCCCUAUGGGUUGUAAACUUCUUUUGUAUGGGAAAAAACCUCUUUACGUGUAAAGAGCUGAUGGUACCAUAAGAAUAAGGAUCGGCUAACUCCGUGCCAGCAGCCGCGGUAAUACGGAGGAUCCAAGCGUUAUCCGGAUUCAUUGGGUUUAAAGGGUGCGUAGGCGGAAUGAUAAGUCAGUGGUGAAAUCUCAGAGCUUAACUCUGAAACUGCCAUUGAUACUGUCAAUCUUGAGUACAUUUGAUGUGGGCGGAAUGUGUCAUGUAGCGGUGAAAUGCUUAGAUAUGACACAGAACACCGAUUGCGAAGGCAGCUCACAAAACUGUAACUGACGCUGAGGCACGAAAGCGUGGGUAUCAAACAGGAUUAGAUACCCUGGUAGUCCACGCUGUAAACUAUGAUUACUCGAUGUUUGCGAUAUACAGUAAGCGUCUAAGCGAAAGCGAUAAGUAAUCCACCUGGGAAGUACGNUCGCAAGAGUUGAAACCUAGAAGUAGUAGUACGGACGNGNGAGAGCGACGACGACGACGACGGAGGGAGGAG
rnacentral:rRNA from 1 species